GCACACCAGCAUAGGGGUGAUCGUCCCCCUGAGCAGUAUAAACAUGGAGAGAUUCUUCAAAACCCAAUGGGACAAAUAACAGAUGAAUUCAUAAACCUGUUCUUCUCUGUGAGCAGCAGCCGGUUAACAGUUACCUUUAAUGAUCACUCAGAAAGCAUUUAAUGAAAAAAUGAACUAUAAAGGGGAACACUUGAAGUGUAUAUGAGAAGAGAAGAAAAUGAGCAUAGGAGGA